UACAGAGGGUGCGAGCGUUAAUCGGAAUUACUGGGCGUAAAGCGUGCGUAGACGGUAGCGUAAGUCAGAUGUGAAAGCCCCGGGCUCAACCUGGGAAUGGCAUUUGAGACUGCUCUGCUCGGGUGCGGAAGAGGGAAACGGAAUUUCCGGUGUAGCGGUGAAAUGCGUAGAUAUCGGAAGGAACACCAGUGGCGAAAGCGGCUCCCUGGUCCGACACCGACGUUCAGGCACGAAAGCGUGGGGAGCAAACAGG
rnacentral:rRNA from 1 species